rnacentral:lncRNA from 1 species
UAUUUGUGAGUGAUUUUGAGAAUUAAUUUUUUGACCGUUAAGAAAAAAAUGGGGUCCAACUGUGAGAGAAGAAGUCAAAUAUGACGGCUGGAAUAGUGAAAUAACGGUCAAAAAAUCAAUUAUUUUGGUGAAAAAAUCACUCCCAAACAGGCCCUUAAAAUUUUUUAAAUUAAAAUUAAAGUUCAAAACAAUGUUACAAUUAUUCAUCCUAACUAAAUACUUAAUUACACAUCAUGGGAGACUAAAAAUAUAAGAAGGAAUUAAAUUACAUUACUAGGUAUUAAAAAGAAAUGAGAAAAAGAUGAAGAUCUUACACUAAGAAUCCGUCUCUUCUUGUGAAAUCCUUGAAACCUAGCUCCUUCAUUGAUUUUUGGAUUUUUCCCUCUCCUUUUGGCUUGCAUAAUAUAUCUACAAUGAAUCCCCAAUCCUUGGCUUGAAUCUAUGUAUAUAAUAAAACUCUACAAACGCUCUUUAAUUGUUGGACUAAGGUAUGUAAUUAUAGAAAAAUUUAGGGAAAAUCCUGUUCUACUUGAAUUCCACAAAAGAGUUCAAAUUUAUUUUUACCAAAGAAUUCAAAUUGCUCUCUACCAAAGAGUUUAAGAAAUAAAAAAAAUAAAAAUAGUUCAUUUUUUUAAUGAACUCCUUUUCUCAUGUGAUUUUAGCCCCUAUUUGAGUCCCAUUAUUUCUUAUUACAUUAAAUCAAAUUUCUCUCUCCUACUUUUAACCACAUAAUCUUCAAUAAAAUAAUAUUACACAUAAAUUAAAAACUUUUCAACCAUUCAUUUUUCAAAAAAAAAAAUUACUAUUCAUCUCAUUAUAAUAUAUAAAUAAUGGGACUCAAACAGGGGCUUAGUUAUUCAUCUUCUAAUUUUGACCUUGAUUCCUUCUCAAUCCAGAGUAAUUAAUAAUUGACCCAAAACAAGUUUUAGAAUUUGCAAUUUAGUCACCAAACUUUCCAAUUAUAGAAUUUAACUCUAAAAACUUAUGAAUUUUUAUUGAAUGCUCCAUUAAUACUUUCAAUUAAGCCUGAAUAAGCACAUAAAAUGCAGUUAUCAAAUAUUCCCAAAUUUAAACUCUUGCUCGUAUCGAGCAUGACUAUAUAUUAAAAAUAUAAGCAAACAAAUAAAAUAUAAUUGUGUUAGAUAAUUUUCCAAAACUCGAAUCAAGCAUUAAAAUCGUUUGAUACUUCACAAAAAUUUCAUAAGUAACGCAACUAAAACUAACUCUUUACUCAUUCAAUGCUUGAUCCAUGUGUUGUGCAUAGUCAAUCAAAUCAUCAUAAAAUUUCCAGUUAGUUAUAUCCCAGUUCUUAAUGGUCAAAUAUUUCCUUUCUCUCUUGUAGGAUGCACGCCCUCAAACUUGUUUUCCAAUCACAUUUUUGAAGUUUUUAUUCUAAAGUUAAUUGCACAACACUCUUUUCCUUUCCCGCUAAAAUUUGCUAGAUUUCAAUGAAAGUUAUUGUCUUACUAUGUGAUGAUUCUCCUUAAGUUUGAAUGUCUCAACCUCCAAACUUCAACUAGGAUAAUAUCCCUUACCAAAAGUCUAAAUUCCAAAUUAAAUAUUCAAGGCUUAACCGGACAAAAGCGGUUCUUACAGUUGUUUUGCCAUUGCCUCAACAAUUUUUUUUUUAUUUUUUUAUUUUUUUUUAUUUUUAUUUUUUGUUUUUGGGGAUCUUUUUUAUUUUCUAAUAUAGUUUUCAUUUGCAGGUAGCGUUCUUGUCAAUAUAUCGUCUUCUAAAGAUUGGUGAUGAAUAAGACCAUAUUACUCAAGAUUAUCUUCACAAAACAAUGUAGGUAACUUUUUCCUAUUUACCUGGCUAGUGUAAUGCCUUUUAUUUUUUUGGAUAAAUAAUUGAAAUCGAACCCCUUGUAAAUGGUUACUACCUAGACUCUACUUGUUAGCCAAAAACAUUCCACAUAAAUAUUCAACAUGCAUCGGAUCAAUACAUAUCUAAAUAGCUUCUAACAAUGGGUUAAUCACCCCCAAAAUAUUCCUUUCAAUUGGUUAAGUAGUUGUGCUUUUAAUCAUGAUCUCGAUUUAUAAAGACGUAAAUUCAUUCAACAUAUCCUAUCAACCAAUCCAAAAAUACAUAAUAAUUAUCAUGACUAUUGUGAUCAAUAUAAUACAAUAUAACAUGAAAAAAUAUAGAAUUAGCAAAAAAAGGGCAUAAAAUAUUCACAAUUUAUGAAACAUAAACAAUUUCAAUUAGUCGGCAAAGCUAUCCAACUCUUAAAAAUGCACAUAAUAUAAGAAAAUUUAUGAUUUUAAAAAAAAAAAUUUCAAAAUUUUCAAAUUUUUUUUUUUUUUAAAUAUCACACAAACAAGCAAAUAUAAACUUACAAACUAAUCGACACCGCCAAACUUGAAAUACACAUUGUCCUCAAUAUGUGCAAAAAGUAGGCUUAAAGAAGAGAUUAGCAAUACUCGCCGUAUAUUUGAUGUUUCGUGUUUAACACUUGGUCUUCGAUCUUCCUUCAAUAUCUUUUCUUGCUCAUUUUGUAAGAUUUUUUUAUUGUACCUGAUAACAAACAAGAAAAAAUAAUUAUCAAUAAAUUCACAUGCGAAUUUAUGCUAAUUUUUAGGCAUGAUGAUUAUAAGCUAGUUUUGACCUAAAAAAUAUAGAAUAGAAAAUAAAUAUAAAAAAUAAAUAAGAAUAAAUGGAAACACAACAGGGGAUGCAGUCCAGCAAUAGGGAGGACACAGUUGGAACACAACAGGAUGCAACAGGGAACGUAGGGGGACGCAACAGGUGACCUAGCUUGGAAUGCAGGGGGACGCAUGCCCAACGCUACAUUUGCAUCAAAAGCUCCCUAAUUACAAUGCAAGUGACAAUUUUUUCACAAAACUGUGAUGUAUAUUAAUGCAAGAAUGUGAAGAACGAAUUUGGUGCUAAAAUAUCAAAUUUUCAUUCCUUGAAGAAUUUCAUCAAACAUUACAUGUUCAAAGAAAUAACCCUUUGAUUUGUAUGAAAUGUGAAGUGUUAUGAUCCAAAUUUUUGCACACAAUCACAACCCAUAUCCUCCAACAUCUAUUCCUAUUCCCAAACUCCGCCAUCUACUAAAAAAUAGAACCAAAAAUUCGAACUUCCAAGCACCCAAUUUGUAAUGUCAAAAUCAGGUUUUUUAGAGAAAAAAUAUUGGGAUUUAAAAAUUUUUGGCACUAGAAGAUGUAAUUCAACUCCCAAAAACUAUCCUAAUCAACCCCAUAAUUCAAACAAUUUAUAAAAAAAUUGGAAUCCCAAUUUUAAUUUUUUUUUUUUUUGAAAAAAAAAAUAUAGUUCUAACGAGCCUUUGGUUUUGAUGAAUUGAAGAAAUUUUGAUGAUC